rnacentral:rRNA from 1 species
UACGUAGGGGGCUAGCGUUGUCCGGAAUCAUUGGGCGUAAAGAGCGUGUAGGCGGUCCGGUAAGUCCGUUGUGAAAGUCAAGGGCUCAACCCUUGAAUGCCGGCGGAUACUGUCGGGCUAGAGUCCGGAAGAGGCGAGUGGAAUUCCCGGUGUAGCGGUGAAAUGCGCAGAUAUCGGGAGGAACACCUAUGGCGAAGGCAGCUCGCUGGGACGGCACUGACGCUGAGAACGCGAAAGCGUGGGGAGCAAACAGG